CUUGGGAAUUCAUUUUUCCUUCGAUGAUAGCAAUCCGUCCAGGCCCUGAUGCAGCAAAGCAGCCCCAAACCAUGAUGCCCCCACCACCAUACUUCACAGUUGGGAUGAGGUUUUGAUGUUGGUGUGCUGUGCCUUUUUUUCACCACACAUAGUGUUGUGUGUUUCUUCCAAGCAACUCAACUUUGGUUUCAUCUGUCCACAGAAUAUUUUGCCAGUACUGCUGUGGAACAUCCAGGUGCUCUUGUGCAAACUGUAAACGUGCAGCAAUGUUUUGUUUG